GAUGAACGCUGGCUACAGGCUUAGCACAUGCAAGUCGAGGGGAAACGACGGGGAAGCUUGCUUCCCCGGGCGUCGACCGGCGCACGGGUGAGUAACGCGUAUCCAACCUGCCUCUGACUGAGGGAUAACCCGUCGAAAGUCGGCCUAAUACCUCAUGGUAUCGUCUGCGGGCAUCCAACGACGAUUAAAGAUUUCAUCGGUCAGGGAUGGGGAUGCGUCUGAUUAGCUUGUUGGCGGGGUACCGGCCCACCAAGGCUACGAUCAGUAGGGGUUCUGAGAGGAAGGUCCCCCACAUUGGAACUGAGACACGGUCCAAACUCCUACGGGAGGCAGCAGUGAGGAAUAUUGGUCAAUGGGCGAGAGCCUGAACCAGCCAAGUAGCGUGCAGGAAGACGGCCCUAUGGGUUGUAAACUGCUUUUAUGCGGGGAUAAAGUGAGGGACGUGUCCCUCAUUGCAGGUACCGCAUGAAUAAGGACCGGCUAAGUCCGUG
rnacentral:rRNA from 1 species